AGAGUUUGAUCCUGCUCAGGAUGAACGCUGGCGGCGUGCCUAAUACAUGCAAGUCGAGCGAACCACUUCGGUGGGAAGCGGCGAACGGGUGAGUAACACGUAGGUGAUCUACCCAUCAGACGGGGACAACGGUUGGAAACGAUCGCUAAUACCGGAUAGGACGAAAGUUUAAAGAUGCUCCUGGCAUCACUGAUGGAUGAGCCUGCGGCGCAUUAGCUAGUUGGUGGGGUAAAGGCCUACCAAGGCGACGAUGCGUAGCCGACCUGAGAGGGUGAACGGCCACACUGGGACUGAGACACGGCCCAGACUCCUACGGGAGGCAGCAGUAGGGAAUCUUCGGCAAUGGGCGAAAGCCUGACCGAGCAGCGCCGCGUGAAUGAAGAAGGCCUUCGGGUUGUAAAAUUCUGUUAUAAGGGAAGAAAGGUGAUAGGAGGAAAUGACUAUCAAUUGACGGUACCUUAUGAGAAAGCCACGGCUAACUACGUG
rnacentral:rRNA from 1 species